GUUUAAUGUAUCAGCUAAGAG
rnacentral:misc_RNA from 1 species